GAUGAACGCUGACAGAAUGCUUAACACAUGCAAGUCGAUGGGGAAGUGGUGCUUGCACCAUGGCAACCAUGGCGGACGGGUGAGUAACGCGUAAGGGACUUACCUGCAGGACUGGGAUAACAGGGGGAAACUCCUGACAAGACCGGAUAAUGUCAUGGAGCUGCAUGGCUUUAUGAUGAAAGGAGACGCCUGCGGAGAGCCUUGCGUCCUAUUAGCUAGUUGGUGAGGUAAUGGCUCACCAAGGCGAAGAUAGGUAGCCGGCCUGAGAGGGUGGACGGCCACAAGGGGACGGAGAUACGGCCCUUACUCCUACGGGAGGCAGCAGUGGGGAAUAUUGGACAAUGGGGGCAACCCUGAUCCAGCAAUUCUGUGUGCACGAAGAAGGUUUUCGGAUUGUAAAGUGCUUUCAGCAGGGAAGAAGUAAGUGACGGUACCUGCAGAAGAAGCGACGGCUAAAUACGU
rnacentral:rRNA from 1 species